CGGGGUGCAGCAGGCGCGAAAACUUUACAAUGCGGGAAACCGUGAUAAGGGGACACCGAGUGCCAGCAUCAUAUGCUGGCUGUCCAGGUGUGUAAAAUACACCUGUCAGCAAGGGCCGGGCAAGACCGGUGCCAGCCGCCGCGGUAACACCGGCGGCCCGAGUGGUGAUCGUGAUUAUUGGGUCUAAAGGGUCCGUAGCCGGUUUGGUCAGUCCUCCGGGAAAUCUGACGGCUCAACCGUUAGGCUUUCGGGGGAUACUGCCAGGCUUGGAACCGGGAGAGGUAAGAGGUACUACAGGGGUAGGAGUGAAAUCUUGUAAUCCCUGUGAGACCACCUGUGGCGAAGGCGUCUUACCAGAACGGGUUCGACGGUGAGGGACGAAAGCUGGGGGCACGAACCGGAUUAGAUACCCGGGUAGUCCCAGCCGUAAACGAUGCUCGCUAGGUGUCAGGCAUGGCGCGACCGUGUCUGGUGCCGCAGGGAAGCCGUGAAGCGAGCCACCUGGGAAGUACGGCCGCAAGGCUGAAACUUAAAGGAAUUGGCGGGGGAGC
rnacentral:rRNA from 1 species